rnacentral:antisense_RNA from 1 species
AGACCUGGCGAAAUACCUGGCGGCGUUUUGUCGUGGAACCGCCAACUUUAUCGGUAGCACGAAGGCACAAAGAUCUGGGUUGAAGAAGAGGCGAAAGCUAAUUUUAAAAAAGCACCUCCCUGCCCCCGGGUAUUAAACUGUACCAUUUGCCUUUCACACACUGGAACUUCAACCGUUGAUUCACUGUUUUGAGUAUUGAGCUCUUUAUGUGAGAAACCAAAGGUGGGUGUCUUCCUUCCACCACCUCUUUUGUUCCCCGUCUUGUGCGCUGUCCUGAAAUCCUGUAUUUGCUUUGACUUUAACUGCCUGGUUUUCUAGUGCCGCGGGUGCGCAUGAGUGCAUUUUAAAUCAAACAGCUUAGAAUUUAUACGACAAAUGUCAAUUACAGGUCGACAGUUUUCUCUUUCACAGUGCCCGUGUCUCGCUAGUAAUUAGCCACCGUUGCUUUGAGUAUUCGAAUCAAUGAUUACUGAUCCAGUAAUUCCCUUAAGUAAACAUUUCUUUCGGCAAUAAAGACAAUUUCCAGUUACUCUCAUGGUUCUUUAUUCUGGAUUCCUAGCUGAUUAGCCUUGUGUUUAAUGCUGGCAUAGAAGCCAUGUUGACUCAUAAUUAAAAAUCACUGUUGUGUAACAUUUUGCCCACCUGCUUUUUCCUCUUCUCUGUUCAGCCCUUCCCUGUGUAGAGGAAGUUGUACUUCUUUGAAAGGAAAAGUAAACAUUUUUAUUACUGUUGUUAUUCUCUGUAAA